rnacentral:rRNA from 2 species
GUUGUUGGGUAGGGGAGCGUUCUGUAAGCCGUUGAAGGUGGCCUGUGAGGGUUGCUGGAGGUAUCAGAAGUGCGAAUGCUGACAUAAGUAACGAUAAAGCGGGUGAAAAGCCCGCUCGCCGGAAGACCAAGGGUUCCUGUCCAACGUUAAUCGGGGCAGGGUGAGUCGACCCCUAAGGCGAGGCCGAAAGGCGUAGUCGAUGGGAAACAGGUUAAUAUUCCUGUACUUGGUGUUACUGCGAAGGGGGGACGGAGAAGGCUAUGUUAGCCGGGCGACGGUUGUCCCGGUUUAAGCAUGUAGGCGGAGGUUCCAGGUAAAUCCGGUACCUUUUAACGCUGAGGUGUGAUGACGAGGCACUACGGUGCUGAAGUAACAAAUGCCCUGCUUCCAGGAAAAGCCUCUAAGCAUCAGGUAACAUCAAAUCGUACCCCAAACCGACACAGGUGGUCAGGUAGAGAAUACCAAGGCGCUUGAGAGAACUCGGGUGAAGGAACUAGGCAAAAUGGUGCCGUAACUUCGGGAGAAGGCACGCUGAUAUGUAGGUGAAGCCCCUGCGGGUGGAGCUGAAAUCAGUCGAAGAUACCAGCUGGCUGCAACUGUUUAUUAAAAACACAGCACUGUGCAAACACGAAAGUGGACGUAUACGGUGUGACGCCUGCCCGGUGCCGGAAGGUUAAUUGAUGGGGUUAGCGG